GAUGGCCCCUAGGUUAGGGGUAUUUCCCAAUACCAAAGUUAAAGAUACCCACAAUCAAAAGCAGAACAGAACAUUUAAUGAAUUGAAGUGAAUUGAAUUGGUCAUAACCCACCUAGGGAAUGACCAAACUUUAGAUGCAAUUUACACCAAAACCAUAUAGAAUUUCCAAGACCUCUGGUACUAUGCUAGAGAUGAAGUAUAUUUACCCAUUGUAUCAAAAGCUGGUAAUCUUAAAAGCUAAUUUACUAUUUUUCUAUAUUUUUCGAACAUUCCUUACUUCACUACUAUAGAGGGGUUUUAGCGGCGCGUCCUGGUGAAACAAUAGGGCCUCGGUUAAAUGUAUUAAGGAAGGGGUGAUACUUUUCAAAAUAAGUGAAAAAAUCAUUAAAUGUUUCUGGUGUAGAAAAUUACGCUGAGUUGAUUGACACUCUAGAUAAAGGGUCUUAAAUGCACCGUUUUCGAAAUAAUUGGGGUUGAAGUGGGGCAAACAAUAGGGAAAACAAUAGGCCAAACUAAGGAAAAAUGACCACUAGCAUCAAAUAGAGGCUGCACCAUGCUCAAUAUAAACAAAAUGGCGCUUCAAUUCCGCGCGCUAAGUUGCUUCGGAGAGUGUUAAAUGGAUAGGAAUGAUACUACUCAGAUUACUUUGGUUUAGACGUCAGAGCAAUAGCAGAACAACAUCAAUUCAUUGGCGGAUCAUAAGGAGCUGGAGAAUGAAGAAGUCCGUGACUUUUAUGUAGUUUAAUUCUCUUUCGAUAUAUAAUUUUCUAUAAAAAUAAUAAGUUUCGGUAUAUAUCACGUAGCCCUAUCAAUUUUAACUUGAACAAGUAAAAUAUGUACGGUGCUUGUAGUACUUCACCCAAAUAACGAUAGUAUAAUGAGCGAAUAAGUUCAGUACCAGAUUGGUUGUAACAACACGUUUUUUCCCGUAUAAACUUGUUAUUAUUAAUUAUAACAAUACGUCAUAUUAGCAAGUUUUUAUGAAUGUUAAAUUAAGUGUUGUUUUUGUCAAACAAGAAUUUAUCAAGGUUUUUUAUUGUGUUCUUUUGUUCAUCCUUUGCUCGUGAUACCAGCUGUAAAUUUAUUUUCUUACCACUGUAUCGAAAACGAAGUUCCUCUUGAAGGAUAGGUAAUAAAGAUGGAAGAGGGAGACUGGGGCCGGGGGAGCAGAUGCUUCAGAGGGGUCCGAGUGGUACGAGUGUCCGAAUGGAAAUUUCAAAAUCGCAAUUACUCCUGAAACUCUGUAUUUAAAAAAUCAUCCAUAAGGGUUUAUAAUUAUGACUUAUAAAGUGCAUGCUGUGUAAGUUUGCUGUAACUGCGAACGCCUAUGUCACUGCGCAUAUCUGUUACUGACUCACACGACAUAAGUUAACAAGAAUGCAUUUAACAGCUCUUUGUUUUAUGCUGUGGGAAAUUAUGUGAGUAUGAAAUUUGCUAAAACUGUUUCCUUUGAUUGUAUUCCCAAUUCUAACUACAGUUUGUUUGUUUAUUUCGAUAGCCAUAGGAAAUAAUCCGUGUGAUAAAGUUACUAAAACUGUUUCUUUUGAUUGUAUUCCCAAUUCUAACUACAGUUUGUUUGUUUAUUUUGAUAGCCAUAGGAAAUAAUCCGUGUAUUAAAUUUACCAAAACUGUUUCUUUUGAUAGUAUUCUCAAUUCUAACUACAAUUUGUUUGUUUAUUUUGAUAACCAUAGCUAUGUUGACUGUUUGUUAUAUAAGAGUGUGUUCCAACUAACGUUUCAGAAUUACUGUGAAUUUGCUGAAGUGUAGUUGCAAUUUUCGAUUGAUGAAAUAAAAGCAGAUGUUGAUACAAAGUCUCCAACGUGGAUAUAAGAACCAGAAAGUAUAUUGUACAGUUCACGAAUAAACGCGAACCAAAUCAUUAAUUCAAUCCUCGUCAGCUGAGGUGAGACAAUAAAAUUGGUUUAUCUAUUCAUUAGGUGAGUUUAUUUCCAGAUUAUCAAAAACUUCAAUAGUUCCUACUGUUUAUAUUUUUUGCAAUCAAUUUCACCGGCAACGGCAACGCAAUUCACCAGAAUUCUUUUGAACAAGUGCAAAUCUUUAGAACUUGACAACAGAUACUUUUAAUAUACACCUUGUAUUUGAUGUUUAAACUUGUUAUGCAUAAAAUUCUAUCUGGUUUCAUCAUCAGUUGUCUUGUUACCAGUUUCCUCUAUGAUAUUAGAAACAUUUAGCCAGAAUUACGCUUUAAUGUAACUAGUUUGACUAGGGCUAGCUCCCGUUGAAACCAGAUUGUUUAAACCAAAUAACUUUUUUAUCUGGUUACAUCAUGUAACCAGUUGUCUUCCAGCCUGUUUUGUCAAUGUAACCAGAUGCAUAUAACCCGAAUUGCGUUUCUAUAAGAAAAGCUUCAUUGGGGCUUAGUUCGGGUGUGACCAAAUUUCUAAACUGAUUUCUCUAACCUGGUUUUUCAUUUAUUUUACGUAGUUUGACGCGCGUAGCGAGAUUGCUUAUAUCUGGUUACAUCUUAAACUUUUUUCACAAAAUUAGGGUAAAACUAUUGCCAGAGUUAGGUCAAAAUUUUAGAAUCUUCUUUUUGGCAGCAUCUCUCGUGAUAAGGGACGAGGGGGGUGCCGCAUUCCAUAAAGGGAAGGUCUGCUUGUAGUUUGCUGCAUUCGCAGCCCGGGGGGGGGGGUCCAGUCCGUUUGAUUUUAUGUUUAAACUUGUUAUGCAUAAAAUUCUAUCUGGUUUCAUCAUGAAACCAGUUGUCUUGUAACCAGUUUCCUCUAUCAUAUUAGAAACAUUUAGCCAGAAUUGCGCUUUAAUGUAACUAGUUUGACUAGGGCUAGCUCCCGUUGAAACCAGAUUGUUUAAACCAAAUAACUUUUUUAUCUGGUUACAUCAUUGACCAAUUGUCUUCCAGCCUGUUUUGUCGAUGUAACCAGAUGCAUGCAACCAGAAUUGAGUUUUAUGAAAGAGUGUCAAUAAUAUUAAACGAGUUUCAAUAAGGCUAGUUCCCGUUGAAAGCAGAUCGUUUAAACCAGAUGGUUUUUCUAUCUGGUUACAUCAUGUAACCAGUUGUCUUCCAGCCGGUUUUUUCGAUGUAACCAGAUGCAUGCUACCAGAAUUGAUAUUUAUGAAAGAGUUUCAAUAAUAUAAAACGAGUUCAAUAAGGCUAGUUCCCGUUGAAAGCAGCGCGUUUUAACCAGAUGACUUUUUUAUCUGGUUACAUCAUGUAACCAGUUGUCUUCCAGCUUGUUUUGUCAAUGUAACCAGAUGCAUAUAACCAGAAUUUCGUUUUUAUAAGAAAAGCUUCAUUGGGGCUUGGUUCGGGUGUGACCAAAUUUCUAAACCGAAUUUCUCUAACCUGGUUUUCCAUUUAUUUCACGUAUUUUGAUGGGCGUAGUGAGAUCGCGGGGCGAUAGAGUAGAAAAAAGUAUUUGUAGCAAAACAUCAUAAUUUCCUUUUAUUGAAUCAGCAUAUUUUCCUUGUAGGAUCAAGCAAUUGUCCCUCGUUAAAGAACGAAAUGGAUUCAAAUUUUCAUGAACCUACCAAAAUUCUGGACAGAGAUCUGUUUGAAAUUGAUGGAAAUCAAUACGUGGCACUGGCGGACGUUAAAACAGAUUUCCAGCACAUGACUGGAUCAGCCUUCAAAACCAUGCUCCACCGAAUGGGUAUAAGGGCUAGAUUAGCCCAAGGGACGAUAUGUGCAAAGCUGCAGUCACGUUUUGGAAAACAGAAAGGGGGACACUGGCUGAUAGAUAUGGGAGAUUUUCAAAAACUUAACAGCAAACACAAACAGCAAAUCUUCAAACAGCUCCAAAGCACCACAACGAUUGAAGCAAACGAUAAAAUUUCAACGAAUGAAAUGUGCGGGGAGGCCACAAACUCCAUGACUGAUGUGGAAUCUUUCGAAGAUGUUAGAAUGGAAGACUACAGCGUUAAUUACCGAGAUCCACACAAUAGUACACAUGAAGCUGUUAAUAAUGAGUUUCCGAAAAUUGCUGAAUUCUACAGCAAGGUAAUCAAUCCAGAACGGCCCACUGGAAA